rfam:Ixodes scapularis strain Wikel colony gcontig_1108378851578, whole genome shotgun sequence.
CUCGGCCGUACCAUGCUGAAUACGCUGGUUCUCGUCUGACCACCGAAGCUAAGCAGCAUGGUGCACAGUCAGUACUUGAGAGGGAGACCACUUUUUAGCCUUUCUCUCUAUUUAGU